rnacentral:rRNA from 1 species
GACGAACGCUGGCGGCGUGCCUAAUACAUGCAAGUCGAACGGACCUUGCUUGGACGGAGUGGAGUACUUGUACAAAGCGAAGACUGAGCGCUGGUUAGUGACGAACGGGUGAGUAACACGUAGGUAACCAACCGAUAAGACGAGGACAACUCAUGGAAACGCGAGCCAAUACUGGAUGUGGUAUAGAGAAGGCAUCUUUUCUAUAUUAAAGGAGCUUUUGGCUUCACUUAUUGAUGGACCUGCGGCGUAUUAGCUAGUUGGUAGGGUAGAAGCCUACCAAGGCGAUGAUACGUAGCCGAUCUGAGAGGAUAAACGGCCACACUGGGACUGAGAUACGGCCCAGACUCCUACGGGAGGCAGCAGUAGGGAAUUUUCCACAAUGGACGAAAGUCUGAUGGAGCAACGCCGCGUGUGUGAAGAAGGUUUUCGGAUUGUAAAGCACUGUUGUAUGGGAAGAAUAAGGUAAUGAGGAAAUGAAUUACUGG